AGCGUGGAGACAGGUGGUGCAUGGCUGUCGUCAGCUCGUGUCGUGAGAUGUUGGGUUAAGUCCCGCAACGAGCGCAACCCUCACCUCUUGUUGCCAUCAGGUCAUGCUGGGCACUCUAGAGGAGCUGCCCCGGUCAACGGGGAGGAAGGCGGGGAUGACGUCAAGUCAUCAUGCCCCUUACGUCCUGGGCUACACACGUGCUACAAUGGCCGGUACAAAGGGAUGCCACACCGCGAGGUAGAGCUAAACCCAAAAAGCCGGUCUAAGUUCAGAUUGGAGUCUGCAACUCGACUCCAUGAAGGAGGAAUCGCUAGUAAUCGCGUAUCAGCACGACGCGGUGAAUACGUUCCCGGGCCUCGUACACACCGCCCGUCACACCACGAAAGCCUGCUGUACUCGAAGUCGCUGAG
rnacentral:rRNA from 1 species